UUAGAUACCCCCUGUAGUCCCAGCCGUAAACUAUGCGCGUUAGGUGUAUCGGUGACCACGAGUCACCGAGGUGCCGAAGGGAAACCGUGAAACGUGCCGCCUGGGAAGUACGGGUCGCAAGGCUGAAACUUAAAGGAAUUGGCGGGGAGCACCACAACGGGUGGAGCCUGCGGUUUAAUUGGACUCAACGCCGGGAAGCUCACCGGAUAAGACAGCGGAAUGAUUGCCGGGCUGAAGACUCUGCAUGACUAGCUG
rnacentral:rRNA from 1 species